GGAAGCGCCGCUGCCCUGUGGCGUCCGCGACCCCCCGACCCCCGAUCCCUCUAGGCAGCGCUCAGAGGCCCGCGCCCCUGCGAAGGGAGCACGGAGUGAAGCUCUCCGAGAAUAAGGCAAGGAUGAUAACUUCUGUGCAGUUUGGAGUAAUAGGACAGGAUUGGAAUGCACCUUGAAACGUGUAUGACUACAUGUCUGAUAGUACAUUCAAAGUAUACCUUCAGUAAAGAAAACAAGAGCCCAGGUUAAAACAAGUAGUAGAACUCAACUCUUCAAACAGUACAAAGCUACAAGCAAAAGUAAAAUAUUACUUCAUCACAGUAACAAUGCCAAGUACUUCUCUUCAUAAGGACUGUCUCAGUAGCACACGAAUCCAGACAACACAAUCAGCACAAAGGAGACAGUGAAGCUGGGCUGUGUUCCAGAGCAUCUACCCACCUUUUUCAUAUUCCCACCGAGCAGUGAGUAAGGAGGUUUGUUGACAUGGUUCCAGUCAACCGGCACACGAGUCAUAUCAUACAAUUGGAAGAUGAUUAAAGCAUCAGAAAGGUCACUAAACCAGAGGAAAACAACGUUUUUAAGCACAAAAGCUCGUAUUGACCAUGAAAUAAAGAAGCACACUUAAGAAAAUAUUUUGCCUGAAUAUGUGAGCUUGGAAUAACCUCAUCACUUCAUUCCCACAGUUAAGAAAACAGAGAGGACACUGAGGAGGGAGAAAACCUCCCCAAACAAUGAAAGAACAGAUUUCUCUGGACUGAAGCACAAAUACCUAAGAGCAUAUCUUCUGCUGAGUGGUGCAGCAGAUAGCCAAAAUCAUUGGAAAACUGCAGAAAGGGGGCAGAGCUACACAAAAGAGAGAGGAGCAAAUUUGGUACUCUGUUGGGAACAAUUUGUGCUGCCACCUUCACUUACACUUGGCUCCCAAGACCACAUGGCAAGAAUGUUCAGGUACAGCAAAGUAUUAGAAUGCUUUUUUUUCAAAAAGAAGUACAGUACAGCUUCACAAUUGUGGAAAGAAAUUAAUGGCUGUAUCAUAAAAAUAAAUUAAGAAAAACUGAGUAUAAUUUGUGUUACUCAUCAUGAAUAAUGCAGCAGCAGAGAAACAAUCAAAAAUACCCUUUGUACUUUCAUCUUAGGCCAAUCUCUGUGCAGAAAGCUGACUUGAAUUCAUCUUAGUAUAAUAAAGCAUCAUUUUACACCUAUGCUUUUACCCAGAGUAACAUAUAAAUGAACCAACCACAUUAACUGUUCCUGGUUUUUUAAAUCUAUGCAUAUUUCCAUAUAUAUACAUACACAUAUGUAUACAAGCAGAAUUUGAAUAUGCCAGUAAAAUAACCUUACCUGUACCUGUAGUGCAUUGGCUAUACAAUGGAGAG